GGGGAAUAUUGCACAAUGGGCGAAAGCCUGAGGCAGCAACGCCGCGUGAGCGAUGAAGGCCUUCGGGUCGUAAAGCUCUGUCCUAUGGGAAGAUAAUGACGGUACCAUAGGAGGAAGCCCCGGCUAACUACGUGCCAGCAGCCGCGGUAAUACGUAGGGGGCAAGCGUUAUCCGGAAUUACUGGGCGUAAAGGGUGCGUAGGCGGUUUAUCAAGUCAGGGGUGAAAGGCUACGGCUCAACCGUAGUGAGCCUCUGAAACUGGUGAACUUGAGUGUAGGAGAGGAAAGUGGAAUUCCCAGUGUAGCGGUGAAAUGCGUAGAUAUUGGGAGGAACACCAGUGGCGAAGGCGACUUUCUGGACUACAACUGACGCUGAGGCACGGAAGCGUGGGGAGCAAACA
rnacentral:rRNA from 1 species